GAUGAACGCUGGCGGCGUGCCUAAUACAUGCAAGUCGAGCGGACCAAAGAGAGCUUGCUCUCUGAGGUUAGCGGCGGACGGGUGAGUAACACGUGGGUAACCUGCCUGUAAGACGGGGAUAACUUCGGGAAACCGAAGCUAAUACCGGAUGAUAAAGAGAAACGCCUGUUUCUUUUUUGAAAGUCGGCCUUGUGCUGAGGCUUACAGAUGGGCCCGCGGCGCAUUAGCUAGUUGGUGAGGUAACGGCUCACCAAGGCGACGAUGCGUAGCCGACCUGAGAGGGUGAUCGGCCACACUGGGACUGAGACACGGCCCAGACUCCUACGGGAGGCAGCAGUAGGGAAUCUUCGGCAAUGGACGAAAGUCUGACCGAGCAACGCCGCGUGAGCGAUGAAGGCCUUCGGGUCGUAAAGCUCUGUUGUCAGAGAAGAACAAGUACCGGAGUAACUGCCGGUACCUUGACGGUACCUGACCAGAAAGCCACGGCUAACUACGUGCCAGCAGCCGCGGUAAAAC
rnacentral:rRNA from 1 species